CCUACGGGGGGCUGCAGUGGGGAAUAUUGCACAAUGGGGGAAACCCUGAUGCAGCAACGCCGCGUGAAGGAAGACGGUUUUCGGAUUUUAAACUUCUGUUUUUAGUGAAGAAUAAUGACGUUAGCUAAGGAGCAAGCCACGGCUAACUAGGUUCCAGCAGCCGCGGUAAUACGUAGGUGGCAAGCGUUGUCGGGAUUUAUUGGGUUUAAAGGGUGCGUUGGCGGAUCGUUAAGUCAGUGGUAAAAUUGAGGGGCUGAACCCCUUCCCGCCAUUGAAACUGGCGGUCUUGAGUGGAAGCGAAGUAUGCGGAAUGCGUGGUGUAGCGGUGAAAUGCAUAGAUAUCACGCAGAACCCCGAUUGCGAAGGCAGCAUGCCGGCUUCCGACUGACGCUGAAGCACGAAAGCGUGGGGAUCGAACAGGAUUAGAUACCCUUGUAGUC
rnacentral:rRNA from 1 species